rnacentral:rRNA from 1 species
CGGACGGGUGAGUAACGCGUGGAAAACCUGCCGUAUACUGGGGGAUAACACUUAGAAAUAGGUGCUAAUACCGCAUAAGCGCACAGCUUCGCAUGAAGCGGUGUGAAAAACUCUGGUGGUAUACGAUGGUUCCGCGUCUGAUUAGCUAGUUGGUGGGGUAAUGGCCUACCAAGGCAACGAUCAGUAGCCGGCCUGAGAGGGUGAACGGCCACAUUGGGACUGAGAUACGGCUCAAACUCCUACGGGAGGCAGCAG